AUCACAUAUUUUUUUUUUUUCAGCACUCCUAACUGUGACGAAAUUUCACCUGGCACUAGAGCUUGCCACCAUCUGCAGAAGUGACAGGUGUUCAGAUUCCUGUGAUGAAGCUAAGCACAAAUGAAGAUACUCUCCUUAUACCCAAACCUGGUCUUUCAAAAUGUGAUUAUUUGAGGACAUCCUACUAUGAUGUCAGAGCAGCAUUCUGAGAAAAAAAUAAUGCCUUGAUGAGCUCCUGCCAGUGAACAUCUCCAUCAGCCAUGGCUCCCAUCCAGCAUCCUCUGAGUUGGAAGUGGAGUCUGUUCCAUAGAUGUUGGAAGCAAAGCACGAGUAACGCCCUGUGUCCUCCUCAAAAGCUUCAACAAUAAUCAGUGAGUGUCGAUCCCCUGUCUGGAUAAUUUGAAUGUCUGGCAGUGUGUAGCAGUGCAUCAGCCAGGCUUGUUCUAAUGGGCUGAAGGAGUACCUGCAGAAGAGAGGCUUACACUGUGACCAUUCUGCUGGCCAGGUCUCCAGCUGAGCCAGCCCAGGCUGGAACUGCCUCAGCCCGAUGCUGCUACAGAAAAGGAAAAAUAUUGGAAGUCUUCAAACUGUGAUACUUAGAAAGAAAAUGCAAAUAUGGUCAGCCUGUGCUUGGGAUAAGAAAUUAAACGAAACAAUCCAACAUGGAAAUUUGCAAAGAAGCCAAGAGUGCUCACCAUGAAGAGCUGUGACCAGGCUGUGUGUGAGCCUCAGUUCUGGUCCUGUCCCGUGCCUCUUUGUUCUCCUCAGUGCAGGCUGCUACCUUUCUGCCUGCUCUUUACGAAAUAGUAAGAAGGCUAAUUUUAGGGUGCUUCAUCAUGCUGCCCUGCAAAGACACAGUGUCAUGUCAGAAUCAGCAGCAUGUGGCACCACUUGCAGCUAUUUUAUAAGCUGAGGUUCAGUGUGUUACCAAAUUGGUCUCUGCAGGGCACAACCCGCUCAAUUAUUGAUGUUGUAUCCCUGAAGGAUUGCACCUUCAAAAUCAAAAGUCACUUUUGGCCUGACCAAAAGCUCAGUUUAAUGACAUGGGAACUGGUGUCUCACAGCAUCCAGCUCUUAAACUGAAAAACCCAAAAGAUUACACGGGAAUUUCUUGGUGCUCAGUUAGCACCUGGCCUGCUGAUCUAUUUAUAACAGAAAAAUACAUGUAAUAGUGCGAAACAUCACUUCAAAAGGAACAUGUGGGAAGGGGCUGCACUCCCAACCCUGUGUAGGAUGCUCAGAAAUGUUCAGCAUCUUCAGCCCCAACCUGCAGGUGCCUCAGCACUUGUGUGGCUUCUGCCAUAGUGCCAGGGCACAGGGGAGCCACUCGGUGCCAGCUUGUGUGGGCUUGGGGACACUGGAUCCACACGAGGGGUUGUGAAUGCAAGAACUUCGUCCCUAACACAAAGGUCAGCUCCUUUCCUUCAUUACAGACUUCACAUCCAGGGUUCAUCCUCAUCCUUUUUCAUUUUCUUUCCAUUCAGCCUCCUAUGAAAAGCUUUCCUUUGGUUCAGCUGUAGUUUGUGGCCUGAGAGGACGAGGGCAGUGGUGGGGUUGCAGGUUUUUGGGUUUGCUUAUCUUAAAUUGAAGGUGUCUCCUCAGUUUUCCCUUAACCAGCUCCCUUUAUCAGGUGCCUCGAGUUAAGCACAGAACUUGCAACGUUGUCAGUUUAGUAUUUCUGUAGUGAUUCAUGUUCACAAACAGGUCAGAAACUGUUCAGGUUGUUUCAGCACGUUGCCAUCAGUUAAUAAAUAAUUUGUCUUACUGGUAAGCACAUUUGCAUUUGAUCAGAACUGUUUGUGAGCAGGGUGGGCAGAGAGAGGACUACAGCACACUCAGCUAUAAAGGAUAUAAAGCAUAUAAAACACAUACUCUGUGUAUGUGUGAGUUCUCUGCAUGGAAACUGAAGAAUCUGAGGAUGAAAUGUAAAACUGAAAUGGCAUAAAAGGGUCUGACCAUCCCUUGUUUGUAAGGCUAUUUGCAUUCUAAAGCCUGUUCUUUGUCUUAAUCAAGAAUAUUCUACACAAAGGCUUCACACAAAGGUUGGUAAUUUCUCACAGCAAAAUGCUGACAUCUCUAAUUUCAUGUUAUCAGCUGUUCUGGACACCCAUUUCUAUUUUCUGUAGUCUGUGACAUGUCAAAGUAUAAAGCAAAGGGGUUUGAAAUGCAGAAUGAAAGUUUACAAAGUAUGUCCUGGCUGUUGCCAGGAGAAAAUGGAUGAAGAGAGCAGAGUCCAUCUCUGUUAUUAACUAUACAGAAAGUUUUAUGCCUUCAAAAAGAUAUAUAUUAACUGAAAGAUGUUUUCUAGCAAUUAAACAUAAAUGACAUAUUAAUUAACCCUAGAUAUGGUUAUUUCCCCAUUUUUUUAUUAUCUCAGUGGGGGAUUAAUGGGGGUACAAUUUAAAAACCACAAUUGUGCUGACAGCUAUCACCAGGCAGUAGCCAGGCAUUGCUAUUUUAAUAAUGGCAGGGGAACUGAAAAUAGUUCCCUGCUUGUUGGGACCAUCAAUAAGAAGUCUGUGCAAUGGUAAUAGGAAACCCUCAGUGCUAAGGCACUUAGAAGGAAAUAAAGUCCUUCCCUGAAGUUAAGCAGAUUUACAUUUCUUGUUUUCGCUGGAUUUGGCACCUCUGAGGUUUUUUUUGCAGGUGCUAGUUCGGACAUUGGGAAUUUUGAGGUGCAAGCUCCCUUGAGCACUGCAGCUGCAGAACUUCACUGUGGCAGCUUUGGUGCUAUGUCUGUUACAGAAGGAAGCUGAGAUUUGUGCAACACUCUGUGUAGUUUCAUGCUUUAUAUAUUUUUUAUUUAAUGUCCUAAGCCAGUUAUACCAAGUGACUUUUCCUUGGAUAAAAUUGUAGCAAGCAUAUAUAAUGUUCCCUUCAAGUACUUGGGCAUAUCCCCACAUGCUGGUCAGAGGACACAUUGCACAACGAAUGCCAAUAUUUAAAAUUCAUUUCACAGUGUAGUUAUUCACAGUUACUACUCCGUUGGGCUCACAAAUAAAGGGAAAAGGAAGUUUAGAAGAUAACAAACAAAAUGUUUUCCUCCAUUUGCUCUGUGUCACAGCUCCUGCUAUCCUGCCAGUCUUAGAUGCAGAAUGGCAAAAGGUAAAUCACUCACAUUUCUCCUUUAAAUAGCAAAACCGGAUAUUUGCUGUCCUGAAAAGUGCUGCAUCAUUUAGCUUGUGUCAGCUAUGCAGCAAUCUCAUUUUCUCUAGGUAUGAAUUUCGUAUUUCUGGUUUGGAUCUUUACUGGUAAAUCUACAAUCACAAACCCUAAGAAGUCCUGUAGAAUCUUACCUAUUUACAAAGGAGUGUUUAAUGGCUGGACCCAGACAUCCCAUUUAUUGGGAUUUUGUGAAAUUGUUUCCAUUAAACAAAAGGGCAGAAGGACACCAAACAUAGAUUCACAGUUCACAAAAUCACUUUGCUGUGAAGUAGCCUGGUCCCGGCCUUUUUUCACUUCCCGACCUACAUAAAGGUAGGACCCUUCUGUAAAGAGGCUGCUAAAUAAGAAAAUCUUAUUUGGAUUACCAACCCGGUCCGAUUACAUAAAUUGCAAUGGA